GAUGGUGGUGGAAUUGAGGAGGGGGAUGGGGGAAACCGCUGCAUGGCUCGCGCCCGCGCACACGACUUCAGCUCGCGUAUUGCAGCUGCGGCAGCAAAGACGCGCGUCCACGGAGGGGCGGGACUCGGGAGCUCGGAGAAGCUUCAAUAGACCGAAGUGCUUCCAAAACUUGUCUUAAAGAUUCAUCAUCACCUCAGGGAAGAGCAGAGGAUGGAAAUGACUGAGAGUAAAAAGGCUGACUUUGGAAUAAUUUUAAGGUUCUCCACAGUUUUGGAUUUAUAGUUAGAUGCCUGCAUUGUGAAUCUAUUCUAUACCAUUUCACAUGCUACUGAUUUUCUGUCUCAUGUUAUAAAACUUGCAAACAAUCCUCUGAAAAAAGGCUAACAUUGGCAUCUGGGAGGGGGAUGCAGCUGAGAAGAGAGAAUGUCAUAUCUCAUGCUGACGUGCUUGGGCCUCUCCAUGAACUCAAGUUAGUUAAAAACAGAGAGGUAAAGAUGACAGACACCAAGGCACUACACAAAUUGGAGUUAGCCAAACUGGAGACAAUGAAAGAAGCCGAAAAAGCUCUAGAAGCUGCUCACAGGAGAGCAAUGGAGGCAAGGGACAAAGAGAUGGAGGCAAAGGACAAAGAAAGGGAGGCAGCGAAAGAGGCAGAACAACACCAAGUGGCUGCUCACAGGAGAGCUAUGGAA